rnacentral:lncRNA from 1 species
ACACUACCAUUUUGGACAAAAAUUCAAAGUUGGCAAAUUGUACAAUUGGUCAUUAAGUAAAAGCAAGGUACAGCAUUUUCUGUGCAGACCACAAGCAGCAAUUGGAAUGUCCUUCUGCAGCCUUUCCAGCCCAAAAUCGUGCAGUCAAACACACCCUCCAUUUCACUUGUGCACAAUUAGCAAGAGUUGCAAAUUGAAUCAUUUAGCAUAAACCAACUUACCAUUUGAUUUAGUGAUGC